CUCUUCCUCUGAUGCUGCUAGCAAUGACCCUGCUCUGGUGAGCCUCAGUCACUCCUGACCUGUAUGGGCACCAAGGUCCUUUUCUGGGUGGGCUUCUGUCUCCUGGGAGCAGACCACACCCAUGCUGGAGUCUCCCAGUCCCCCAGGCACAGGGUCACAAAGACAGGAGAGAACAUAGCUCUCAGGUGUGAUCCAGUUCCUGGACACGUUAGCCUUUACUGGUACCGACAGACCCUGGGGCAAGGCCUGGAGUUCUUGAUGUCUUUCCAGUAUGAACGUGCAGCAGAUGAGUCAGGGAUGCCUAGUGAGCGGUUCUCUGCUGAGAGGCCACAGGGAUCCUUCUCCACUCUGGAGAUUAAGCUCACAGAGCCCGGGGACUCGGCUGUGUACCUCUGUGCCAGCAGCUCAGCCACAGUGUGGCACAGACUCCUCUGUCCUGCUCACAAACCUCAUCCUUCUCUCUCCUUGAAGCUCUGAGACACCUAGUGUUCUUUCUUUGCUGUUUUUCCUACAAGGGAAACAGGAGGACUUGGACAUCAGCUGUCUUUUGAAUGGAAAGAGACCACAGAAGCACUCCCAGGCACUGGGCAGGAUGUGGGAUUCUGAGAUUCCUUUCAAAUAUUUUAUAGCAUUUUCUUUGCCUCUGUUUCAUCCUUGGUCACAUCCAUUAGGAGGGUGAUUCCUUUGGCUUUGUGUUGUUUAUGGCUCUUGGGGAGGUUUCUGUGAGUCACUGGCAUCCAGAAAUCAUUUAAUGGCUCAGCUCUUCUGCUCACUGGCAGCCCACGACAGUGAGACCAACAGCAGGGCUCGCCCAGCUUUCAGGGCAUCACUUUAUGAGUCCUAGUGAAGCCAGAAUUAGACAGGCAGUCAGCAUACAUAGGUGAAUCGAGUCAGGUCGGAUCAAGGAGGCCAAGUUUGACUGAGUCUGGGAAGUUGGAGACUGUCCCCUGAGGGAUUGAAAUGUUAAUUCCUUCAGAGCCCUUCCUCCACCCUUACCAAGAACCCUCUGCUCCAACCUGUUGCUAAGAUAACCUGUCCCAGGAAUUGCCCCUCCCUACAGAGAGCUAUAAAGGUGUUAAUUAAUGUGUCCUGGGCUCCUCCAUCCUGCCCUUCCCCCUUCAGCCCACCUGUUUCCCACCUUUUGACUGUCCCAUCUAGUGAGCACUCCUGGGUCUAGUCACAUACUCAGGAAGGAGAAAGAUGAAGGGAAGAGGGCAGGAGAACAAAGGAAGCCUACCACCUAUAAAAAGGGCAGAGCACCUCGCUUCUUAGGAUACCAGCUAUGGCCCCCUUCUCCCUCCCAGGAGAAGUCUAUGUUACCCCUUUUUAAAUAAACCCUGCUUUAUAUGCUUGCCUUGGGGUGCUUCUCUAAUGUUCAAACUUCAACAUGUGAGGAAGCAGAACUCAUCACUGAACGCUGGCGGUAUCACUAGGAAGAAGGUGUCAUUGAAGGCUAAUUGUCCACAUGCAACUCUUUCAGUCUAGUUGAAAUGAAAAGCUCUAAGAUUAAACAGCCUGUGAUCAGCCCAUGAGAGAAGUCUACAUCAUUAUUAGGGGCUAUCAAAAGAAGGAGACAUUUCUUCUCCUGAAGAUGGUAGCCAACAUGAUGGAGCCAUGAUUUGGUUUUGGGAAUCCAAGGAAGACUUGGUCUAACCUAGGGUGGAGCCAGGGAUGCAGGAGCAGAUGCUUGGAAAUGGAGAUGGUCCUUUGGGCCGACACAGCUCUGUAAUCCAGCACAGAGUCUCCUGGUACACUGAGCUUGUCUCUGCACCAGCCUGCCUUUAGCCCUCUCUGCUCCUCUGCUUCUUCCAGAACCAUCUCUCCCUCCCAGCUGCUCACAUCAACAGGUGUGCAUUGUCCAAGUCCUUCUUGGUGUAGGAUGCCCUUGGUCCCCCUUCCCUCUGCCCACCGCUGCCUUCCCCAUGAGAUACUGCUCUGUGCAUGAUUGUUGCCUUAAGGUUAGCCCACAUUUUCUUACAUUAUAAUUAACUUUUUAUCCACGUAUUUGACUCUGUCUUAAAAAAUGAUCUCAUUAUUAGCCCAGUUCUUUGCUCAUUUAUAUUUUUGAAGUAAUGAUUUGGUUAUGGUGGUUUGGAUUUCUUAGCAUUUUUGUUAUCAUGAGUAAUAUUAUACUUUAAUUCCUGUGUUUUCCUUACUAAUAGUUUACAAUAAAUAUUAUUUCCCGCCAUUCCUCUCAUUCUCUCUGUCUUUAAAUGAUAGUUUGAAGGAAGAAAAUCUAAGACAAAAACUGCCACGUCUGUGAGAGAAGAUGAGGGUGUUUUCUGAAAUGUGGCAAAUGAAAGACAUAUUCAGGACUAGAAUCAGUGUUGGGAUCAGGGUUCAAGGAAACUGAUCCUAAAACUAAUCUAUUACGACUUCUGAAAAUCUUUCCCUGCUAAUUAUGCAGAGAAUACAGUCUCAGGAAAUAGCCACAAGAUGGCACUGUGAGGCCACUGGGCUCCUGUGGUGUCUAGGGAGAGUCUGGAAGAGCACACAGGAGGGAAGUGGUUAAGAACAGCCUGGACUUGGAUCCCACAUCAGGCUGGUGUGAGAAGUUUUCAGUUAUUUGGCUACCUAAUCGCUGGGAGGGGUAGGAGGUCCCUCUAAGCUGAGAUGCACAGUUGAAGAAUGUGGGCAGGACAGCUGCAGGUGUCAGGGCAGCUAAAGAUGGAGCAUAAACUGCCCCAGAGGGAGGAGGGAAACCACAGGUGGGGUGCCCCAACUCAGUGCACUGCUGCCACACCCACCGUCCCCCAGUUCUUGCUAAGCAGCAGCAUCCAGGAGUGGAGUGGUUGAUUUGCCUGAGCCAGUGGGGAGGCCCCUGGGCCAGGGAGAACCCACAGGGUGUGGAGGAGUGGCAUGAGGGCCCCACCUCUCAGGUGCCUGGAGAGGAGCCUCAGAGCCCCAGCUGUCAUCCUGUGGUCACAGCAUUAGCUGGGAGAGCUCCUUUCCAUGGGGACCUGCAUGAACCCCAGACUCUUCUGUGUGAUGCUUUGUCUCCUGGGAACAGGCCUUGUGGACGCUGUGAUCACCCAGAGGCCCCGACACCUUAUCCUACACACAGGAAAAAAGACAACCCUGGAGUGUUCUCAGAACCUGAACCAUUAUGCAAUGUUCUGGUACCGACAAGACCCAGGACAGGG